rnacentral:lncRNA from 1 species
AACUGACCUAUAGAGACAAUAACUCAACAACAUCAUAAUCUCAUAUUCAAGUAAGUAAGAAUAACAACUUUCCCUUUUUAUUUGCCUAUUGGUAUCUAUGGGGGUCCAUAGGGAUAUUCCACUACGCGUGAACUAAUAUCCAACAUUGUCAACUAACCGUGCGUCCCCAUACCUCGUCCAGUAUGAGCGUCAAAAAUACCAUCC